rfam:Choloepus hoffmanni cont1.898601, whole genome shotgun sequence.
AAUCCUGUUAUACCUGGGAUUUAAGUACUGUAGAUCCGAAAAGCAUGUGUGUCCUCUCAGCACUUCACAGGGACUUGAGAAAUGCCCUUCCCUGAACUAAAGCUGGAUUUUCUUGGGAUUUGGAGAAUUAAG